AAAAUUUUAAGUUAAUUAAACUUUAAAUCUUCAAAAUUUAAUAUAUAAAAUAUAUUUAUAAAUUUUAG
rnacentral:tRNA from 1 species